UCUGUGUGCACUGGUGUGGCCGCAGCGGGAGGGCCAGGGCCACAUCCUCCGGGAAGCCCACAACGCAAGUGGGGUCAGAGGUGCCCUUGACCCUGAGGGCAGAUGAAGCCAGGAACAGGCCAGGUGAGCUGUAAGGUCCCUGGUGAGCCCGGCCUUCUCCCCAGGAGGUGCAAGGGCCUUCUGUUGCUUCUGCUACUAGGCCUGGCCAGAGGCAACCAGGGGCCACAGGCCCUAACAGCAGCACCACGGAGCAGGACCCCAAGCCCAGGAGCCUCCAACCUGUGGAACAUAUGGGGCAGGUUCCCUCUCCAGCCCCGCCCCCAGGAGGCAGGCCCCAGGUGCUGGCCCCAUGUCUUUUGGUCCGAGUCUCAGUCACCAUCGUUCAUCUUUGGCAGUGGAACCCAGCUCACUGUCCUAGGUCAACCCAAGUCUGCCCCAUCAGUCACCCUAUUUCCACCCUCCUCUGAAGAGCUCAAGGCCAACAAGGCCACACUGGUGUGUCUGAUAAAUGACUUCUACCCAGCUACCAUGACAGUGGCCUGGAAAGCAAAUGACACCCUCAUUACUCAGGGUGUGGAGACGGCCCAGCCCUCCAAACAGAGCAACAACAAGUACAGGGCCAGCAGCUACCUGACCCUGGUGCCCAGCCAGUGGAGAUCUCACAAAAGAUUCAGCUGCCAGGUCACACAUGAAGGGAGCAUUGUGGAGAAGAGUGUGUCUGCUGCAGAAUGUUCUUAGGUCCCCAGUGCUCACUCCACCCUCCAGGGGCUGGAGCAGAGGACCUGGGGUGGAGAUUCCCUGACCCACUUCAGCCAUUCUCCCUGCAUCCAACAAGUGCUCAAUAAAAUAUCCAGUUCAUAAA